rnacentral:rRNA from 1 species
UUAAAAAUUGCCGUUGAAAACUGUUUUUUCUUGAGUAUAUUUGAAGUAGGCGGAAUUCGUAGUGUAGCGGUGAAAUGCAUAGAUAUUACGAAGAACUCCAAUUGCGAAGGCAGCUUACUAAACUAUAACUGACGCUGGAGCACGAAAGCGUGGGUAUCAAACAGGAUUAGAUACCCUGGUAGUCCACGCCGUAAACGAUGAUUACUAGCUGUUUGUGAUAUUACAAUAAGCGGCUAAGCGAAAGCGAUAAGUAAUCCACCUGGGGAGUACGCCGGCAACGGUGAAACUCAAAGGAAUUGACGGGGGCCCGCACAAGCGGAGGAACAUGUGGUUUAAUUCGAUGAUACGCGAAGAACCUUACCCGGGCUUGAAAUGCAUCUGACCGCUUAAGAAAUUAGGCUUCUAGCAAUAGCAGAUGUGUAGGUGCUGCAUGGUUGUCGUCAGCUCGUGCCGUGAGGUGUCGGCUUAAGUGCCAUAACGAGCGCAACCCNCAUUGUUAGUUACUAACAGGUCAAGCUGAGGACUNUGACAAGACUGCCAGCGUAAGCUGUGAGGAAGGUGUGGAUGACGUCAAAUCAGCACGGCCCUUAUGUCCGGGGCGACACACGUGUUACAAUGGAUGGUACAGAGGGUCGCUACCUAGUGAUAGGAUGCUAAUCUCGAAAGCCAUUCCCAGUUCGGAUUGGAGUCUGCAACUCGACUCCAUGAAGCUGGAUUCGCUAGUAAUCGCGCAUCAGCCAUGGCGCGGUGAAUACGUUCCCGGGCCUUGUACACACCGCCCGUCA